CCCUCUCAAGCGCCUAGGGCUGCUACCCUAGAACCAAGCCUGCGGCAGAGGGGUAUAACCUCGCCGGAGAAGACAGCUAUCCUCAUGGACCGAAGGUCCAUGACACCUGGUAUCAGCUCCAGGUUAUCCUCACCACCACCAGCCGCCCAUCCCUCACCACCACCAGCCGCCGCGCCAUAUGCCGCCGCAACGACCUCCCACCCGCCCUCUCCAACUCUAGAUGCAUUCACUCGACUCGAAGAAAAGUGGGAUCAAUUCGUUGUGAUGUUCCACCGCUACAAGGAGAAGACAGAGAAGGAACUCCAAGCAGCGGUGCGGCUUCAGGCGGCAGCGCGAGGGUUCCUGGCACGCCGCCAGGUACAGUCCCUUCGUGGGGAGAAGCACCUUGCUGUGGCCUCCAGGGCCACCCCAUGGCCGUCAUCACAUGAGCAGGUCGUGGUGCGCCUGCAAGCCGCAGUGCGCGGCUUCCUUGUUAGGCAGGCGGUGCGGAAGCUACACUUGCUGAUCAGCUCAUCGCUGCACCAACUCGCAGCCUGCGCGCCCAACCACCAGGUCUCGUCUAUACUUUUUGAACCCCCUGCAGAAGUCGAGAUCUGGGUAUGCAGUCCCCCUGCACGGCCAAAGAGGGUCGUCUCCUUCAUUCGAGCAACUGCCUUGGUGCUGGACAGACCCAACAUAAGAACGGGCUGGUUCCUCCUUCACCUUUCAUCCAACGUGAAGUCCGCAGUUCAGCUCUUUCCUUGGGAUCCAGGAGGACAUAGCAGCAGUUCAAAUUUAUAUUUUAGUUCCACAAUUAUUUUGUAUUUUCGUCUUAAAUAAUAAAGGUAAGCCGAGAUGUAAAAGGCUUAACCUUAAGUCGUGUCAGGUAAGUCUAUGGCAGCUCGAGGACGAGCUGGUCCUCAAGGGAGGGGGAGAUGUCAUGGGCAUCAUAGGGAGCGAGAGGCAACAGCCAGGCUGGGAUAAGGCUAGAGAAUAAGAUUGAGAUGAGCUGGGAUAAGGCUAGAGAAUAAGAUUGAGAUGAGAGAAUUGUGGAGAGUUGGUUAGCAUCAGAUAAGUCCAAGAAAGUAGGAGUUAGUUGAGAGUUUGUAGGAGAAGUUGGUUAGCCAUAGGGCUAUUUAUAAGCCGCAUGGCAGCAGGGAAUAAAUCAAGCAAGAUCAUUAUC